CUCUCUCUCUCUCUCUCUUCUCUUUACCCUCUGUCUAUCUCUCUCUCUCUCUCUCUCUCUCUCUCUAUCUUCUCUUUACCCUCUGUCUAUCUCUCUCUCUCUCUCUCUUCACUCUGUCUAUUUCUCUAGCUGCUUUGUGUUUUUCUUUAUUCCCUUUCUUUCUCUCUCUUUACCAUCUUCUCCUCUCUCUCCCCUCUCUCUCUCUCCCUCCCUCCCUCUCUCUUUCUCUCUUCUCAAUCCCCAUUCCCCUCUAUAUCUGUCAUAUCUCGCUCUUUCCCCUCUCUCUGUCUCUUUCCCCUCUCUCUGUCUCUUUCCCCUCUCUCUGUCUCUUUCCCCUCUCUGUCUCUUUCCCCUCUCUCUGUCUCUUUCCCCUCUCUCUGUCUCUUUCCCCUCUCUCUGUCUCUUUUCCCUCUAUCUUAGUUGUCUCCCUCUUUCUGUUCCCUCCCUUCUAUCUGACUAUGUUUUUGUUUAAUGAGGUUAGACAUCUAAUUUGAUGUCUGCCAUUAUCCAUGAUAUUACGGCAGGUCAGGGAAAUAAUCAAUAGCCGUAACAUCAAUACAACAUUUACAUUAUCUACUACGCACCAAACACUGUUGACAGGGUAUAAUCAUUGCGUCCAUCCACAGAGGCUGGCUGUUGGGUCACAAAGGGUUUCAUGUUCCUGUCUGUCUGAGUACUAAGAUGUAGACCAGUAGAAUGUCUGUUUGUCUCACCUGUCUGCCUGAGUACUGAGCUGUAGACAGGUAGAAUGUCUGUCUGCCUGAGUACUGAGCUGUAGACAGGUAGAAUGUCUGUCUGCCUGAGUACUGAGCUGUAGACAGGUAGAAUGUCUGUCUGCCUGAGUACUGCGCUGUAGACAGGUAGAAUGUCUGUCUGCCUGAGUACUGAGCUGUAGACAGGUAGAAUGUCUGUCUGCCUGAGUACUGCGCUGUAGACAGGUAGAAUGUCUGUCUGCCUGAGUACUGAGCUGUAGACAGGUAGAAUGUCUGUCUGUCUGAGUACUGAGCUGUAGACAGGUAGAAUGUCUGUCUGCCUGAGUACUGAGCUGUAGACAGGUAGAAUGUCUGUCUGCCUGAGUACUGAGCUGUAGACAGGUAGAAUGUCUGUCUGCCUGAGUACUGCGCUGUAGACAGGUAGAAUGUCUGUCUGCCUGAGUACUGAGCUGUAGACAGGUAGAAUGUCCGUCUGUCUGAGUACUGAGCUGUAUACAGGUAGAAUGUCUGUCUGUCUGAGUACUGAGCUGUAGACAGGUAGAAUGUCUGUCUGCCUGAGUACUGAGCUGUAGACAGGUAGAAUGUCUGUCUGCCUGAGUACUGAGCUGUAGACAGGUAGAAUGUCUGUCUGUCUGAGUACUGAGCUGUAGACAGGUAGAAUGUCUGUCUGUCUGAGUACUGAGCUGUAGACAGGUAGAAUGUCUGUCUGUCUGAGUACUGAGCUGUAGACAGGUAGAAUGUCUGUCUGUCUGAGUACUGAGCUGUAGACAGGUAGAAUGUCUGUCUGUCUGAGUACUGAGCUGUAGACAGGUAGAAUGCCUGUCUGUCUCACCUGUCUGUCUGAUCGGACGAACACAUAUCAUCUAAUUCCAUGACAGAAAUGACAAAAUUAUAUGACAGAUCAUUUUAUUUUUUUCAUUUUGUUCAGCUGUCGAAUAAUUAACAUUCACAAUGAAGCAAAUAGGUUUUUUCUCGUUUUUUUUUCAAUUCUGCAUAUGUUGAGGAAGCAGAGCCAACCAUACAGUUGUGUGAUACCUUGUUUUAGACAUUAGUAAGAAUACUACACUAUUGGAGAUGGUAUCAACCAGUGGAGGCUGCUGAUGGGGAGGACGGCUCAUAAUAAUGUCUGGAACGGCGUCAAUGGAAUGGUAUCAAACACAUCAAACACGUGGUUUCCAUGGUUUCCAUGGUUUCCAUGGUUUCCAUGUGUUUGAUACCAUUCCAUUGACGCCGUUCCAGACAUUAUUAUGAGCCAUCCUCCCCAUCAGCAGCCUCCACUGAUAUCAACUGGUGUCGGGUUUCACUUCAAGUUCUGAUGUGGCUCAGUUGGUAGAGCAUGGUGCAUGUAAUGCCAGGGUUGUGGGUUUGAUUCCCUUGGUGGACUGGUAUGAAAAUGUAUCCACUCACGACUGAAAGUUGCUCUGUAGAAGAGCAUCUCCUAAAAGGUCAAUGUUUUUUAAGGGUGAGAAUGUUGUAAACUAGAGAGAAAUAUCCACUGGAUGUCUCUGUUUAUAGGUCUUUGUUUUCCUGUUUCAACGUUUGAAUUUAAGUUCAUCUAUCUGUCAUAUUAAUGAUCAACUGUCAUAUUAAUGAUCAACUCUGUCAUAUUAAUGGAAGCGAUGUUCAUACUUAGACACAAAUUCAGAAACAGAUUUUUUAUCAGAUGAUACCAGUUGAUGGAAAUCAAAUACAGUAUGCCAACUUGUGCAAUGUGAUAUAUCAUUGUAUCUACAAAACUCACGACAAUGUGAUAUAAAACAAUUAUUAUAUAGUUUUAUGUAAUUUGUUUGCCUUCUCAUAGGCCCUAUAUAAAUUAAUUAUUGAAGAAGAAAUCAUUUAGAUUUUAUUUGUAUGGUGUGUAAUUUAUGUUUUUUCAUUUCAGUAAAACAAAAGUGAUAAAUGGAUGAUUUGAUUCCUGGUAUCUCUAGAAAGUGUUCCUAGAAUGAUUGCUUUAGAUCAGGGUGGCCAACCCUCCUCCUGGAAAGAUACCCUCCACCUGGAGAGAUACCCUCCACCUGGAGAGAUACCCUCCUCCUGGAAAGUUACCCUCCUCCUGGAGAGAUACCUUCCACCUGGAGAGAUACUUUCCUCCUGGAAAGUUAACCUCCUCCUGGAGAGAUACCUUCCUCCUGGAAAGAUGCCCUCCUCCUGGAGAGAUACCUUCCUCCUGGAGAGAUACUUUCCUCCUGGAGAGAUACUUUCCUCCUGGAGAGAUACCUUCCUCCUGGAGAGAUACUUUCCUCCUGGAGAGAUACCUUCCUCCUGGAGAGAUUCCCUCCUCCUGGAAAGUUACCCUCCUCCUGGAGAGAUACCCUCCUCCUGGAGAGAUAGCCUCCCGUUUGAUUUUAUUCCAACCCUGCACCUACACACCAGACUCUACUAACCAGCUGGUCCCCAAGACCGUGAUUAUCUUGAAUCAGGUGUGUUAGAGCAGGGCUGGAACAAAAGCCUGCAGGGUUGGAAUAAAAGACUAUCUCUGAUCUAACUGUGUCCUAACAAAUAUGCAUCCCAAAUGGCACCCUAUACCAUAUACAGUGCAAUACUUUUGACCAGUGCCCAUGGUCAAAAGUAGGGAAUAGGGUGCCAUUUGGGACACAAUCUAACUGUGCCCUAACAUAGAUGCUAUCUAACAGAGAUGCCCUAACAGAGAUGCUAUCUAACAGAGAUGCUAUCUAACAGAGAUGCCCUAACAGAGAUGCUAUCUAACAGAGAUGCUAUCUAACAGAGAUGCUAUCUAACAGAGAUGCCCUAACAGAGAUGCUAUCUAACAGAGAUGCUAUCUAACAGAGAUGCUAUCUAACAGAGAUGCGAUCUAACAGAGAUGCUAUCUAACAGAGAUGCUAUCUAACAGAGAUGCCCUAACAGAGAUGCUAUCUAACAGAGAUGCUAUCUAACAGAGAUGCCCUAACAGAGAUGCUAUCUAACAGAGAUGCUAUCUAACAGAGAUGCUAUCUAACAGAGAUGCCCUAACAGAGAUGCUAUCUAACAGAGAUGCCCUAACAGAGAUGCGAUCUAACAGAGAUGCGAUCUAACAGAGAUGCUAUCUAACAGAGAUGCUAUCUAACAGAGAUGCUAUCUAACAGAAAUGCCCUAACAGAGAUGCUAUCUAACAGAGAUGCCCUGACAGUGAUGCCCUAAAAGAGAUGCUAUCUAACAGAGAUGCUAUCUAACAGAGAUGCUAUCUAACAGAUAUACCCUAACAGACAUGUUAUCUAAUAGAGAUACCCUAACAGAGAGGCUAUCUAACAGAGAUACCCAAACAGAGAUGCUAUCUAACAGAGAUGCUAUCUAACAGAUAUACUCUAACAGAGAUGCUAUCUAACAGAGAUACCCAAACAGAGAUGCUAUCUAGCAGAGAUGCUAUCUAACAGAGAUGCCGUAACAGAGAUGCUAUCUAACAGAGAUACCCAAACAGAGAUGCUAUCUAACAGAGAUACCCUAACAGAGAUGCUAUCUAGCAGAGAUACCCAGACAGAGAUGCUAUCUAACAGAGAUGCUAUCUAACAGAGAUACCCAAACAGAGAUGCUAUCUAACAGAGAUACCCAAACAGAGAUGCUAUCUAACAGAGAUACCCAAACAGAGAUGCUAUCUAACAGAGAUGCUAUCUAACAGAGAUACCCUAACAGAGAUGCUAUCUAACAGAGAUACCCAAACAGAGAUGCUAUCUAACAGAGAUGCUAUCUAACAGAGAUAGCCUAACAGAGAUGCUAUCUAACAGAGAUACCCAAACAGAGAUGCUAUCUAACAGAGAUGCUAUCUAACAGAGAUGCUAUCUAACAGAGAUGCUAUCUAACAGAGAUACCCUAACAGAGAUGCUAUCUAACAGAGAUGCUAUCUAACAGAGAUGCCCUAACAGAGAUGCGAUCUAACAGAGAUGCUAUCUAACAGAGAUGCUAUCUAACAGAGAUGCUAUCUAACAGAGAUGCUAUCUAACAGAAAUGCCCUAACAGAGAUGCUAUCUAACAGAGAUGCCCUGACAGUGAUGCCCUAAAAGAGAUGCUAUCUAACAGAGAUGCUAUCUAACAGAGAUGCUAUCUAACAGAUAUACCCUAACAGAC